UAUCUUUUAUUAUCUAUAAUAUAAUAGCCAUAUCUAUAUUAUAUCUAGAAUAUAAUAGCCAUAUCUAUAUUAUAUCCAUAAUAUAAUAGCCAUAUCUAUAUUAUAUCUAUAAUAUAAUAGCCAUAUUUAUAUUUAUAUCUUUGAUAGAACCAUUUAGAUAAACUGUAUGAGUUUGAUAUCUGGAAGAGUAAGCAUAUAUCUUGUCACCAUCAUGUAAAAUAUGUGGAAUUAACAUUUCUAAUUGAAAGUAAAAAAGUCUCACUAGGGUAUAAACUAGUUGAUGAAUAGUAUUGGUUUUUUUUAUAUCUGUAUUUGCAUAUAAUGAUUUACCAUUGCAAAACAAUAUCCAUCAUUCAUGAAAUUAUAUCACUCUAGAUAUGUGUCCUUUAGCUAGCCUACAAUAUUUAUUUUUGCUUUGAAUGAUCCAGUACUAGUCAUGUUCAUAUUCAUAUUAUGUCUUCAUAUAAUUUCAGUCAAUGGAAAUACAUGGAAUCCAACAUCCUAGCUGAUUUUGCAAUUUUUCAUACAGACUAUGAAAACACUACUAUAGCGACCUUUAAUUCUUUAAAACGUUGCACAUGUUGUAGUGUUGUAACACAUUACUUUUCAUCAACUAUAUGUACAAAAAUGAAAGAAAGAAGGUUAGAAUGGAAAACUGCUGAAGAUGAAGGUUAUAAUUGUGAUCUACAUGUUGAUUAAUUUAAAGCAGAUUUUGUUCUAAAGAGGGAAAUAAAUAAAUAGUGUGUUUUAUAAAGAUGCUCAAUUAUUAACACCACAACAAAAAUAUUCAUUGUAUGAGAGAUAAAUGGAUAUAAGUGUAAAUAAAGACACUUUAUUUUCUU